CCAGAGAAUUUGGCAGAGAUGCCUUAGUGCCUUCGGGAACUCUGAGACAGGUGCUGCAUGGCUGUCGUCAGCUCGUGUUGUGAAAUGUUGGGUUAAGUCCCGCAACGAGCGCAACCCUUAUCCUUUGUUGCCAGCGAUUCGGUCGGGAACUCAAAGGAGACUGCCGGUGAUAAACCGGAGGAAGGUGGGGAUGACGUCAAGUCAUCAUGGCCCUUACGGCCAGGGCUACACACGUGCUACAAUGGCGCAUACAAAGAGAAGCGACCUCGCGAGAGCAAGCGGACCUCAUAAAGUGCGUCGUAGUCCGGAUUGGAGUCUGCAACUCGACUCCAUGAAGUCGGAAUCGCUAGUAAUCGUAGAUCAGAAUGCUACGGUGAAUACGUUCCCGGGCCUUGUACACACCGCCCGUCACACCAUGGGAGUGGGUUGCAAAAGAAGUAGGUAGCUUAACCUUCGGGAGGGCGCUUACCACUUUGUGAUUCAUGACUGGGGUGAAGUCGUAACAAGGUAGGCGUAGCGAG
rnacentral:rRNA from 1 species